CUUCAAAGGAGCACCAAACUUGAAAUCAAUGUUAGCUCUGAGCCAAUUACCAGAAAACAAAAAAGGCACGGAGAACCCUUUUAAUUUAGGAAAUGUUUUUUAUAAAUGUGGAUCAUGAAGCGUAUGUUGAACUAGUGCAAAAACAAAUAAUAAAUGCACAGAAUUGAAAUCAUACCACACUGGAGAAGAGUUCAAGAUAAAAAAAUUUGAUCACGUGCAAUACAAAAGGAGUAAUUUAUCUGGUAUACUGUACAUGUGUACUACAGUACAUCAGACAAACAACUGAAGAAACGAUUGUACCAAC